rnacentral:rRNA from 1 species
UACAGAGGUCUCAAGCGUUGUUCGGAUUCAUUGGGCGUAAAGGGUGCGUAGGCGGCGUGGUAAGUCACUUGUGAAAUCUCUGAGCUUAACUCAGAACGGCCAAGUGAUACUGCUGUGCUAGAGUGCAGAAGGGGCAAUCGGAAUUCUUGGUGUAGCGGUGAAAUGCGUAGAUAUCAAGAGGAACACCUGAGGUGAAGACGGGUUGCUGGGCUGACACUGACGCUGAGGCGCGAAAGCCAGGGGAGCAAACGGG